UUAAUCUUCCAUAAAGGAGCCGAAUGAAACAAAAAUCUCCAAGCUAACGAUGCGGGUUCGAUUCCCGCUACCCGCU
rnacentral:tRNA from 1 species